rnacentral:rRNA from 1 species
UACGUAGGGUGCGAGCAUUAAUCGGAAUUACUGGGCGUAAAGGGUGCGCAGGCGGCUUCGCAAGUCAGACGUGAAAUCCCCCGAGCUUAACUUGGGAAUUGCGUUUGAAACUACGGAGCUGGAGUGUGGCAGAGGGAGGUGGAAUUCCACGUGUAGCGGUGAAAUGCGUAGAUAUGUGGAGGAACACCGAUGGCGAAGGCAGCCUCCUGGGCCAACACUGACGCUCAUGCACGAAAGCGUGGGGAGCGAACAGG